CCCUUUGGAAUUCAAGUAUAAAUUACAGCAAGACAGUAGAUGUUGUUUCACAACAAAGAGCCCAAAAAAUGAAGACUUACCAUACAUUAUAUAUUUUAACUGAUGGGCAGGGUGGAUGCUCAGUUGAUGUGAAGAAGUGGGGGUUUGAUAUAUGUUGUUGAGGAUGUGACCAUUGGUUAGGUAGGGUUUCCUGCUGCCCAACUG
rnacentral:lncRNA from 1 species